UGCUCCACGAGCGCUCAGGCCUGAGUCCUCUAUUUCUCUUGGCAACCUUAGAGUCCACGGUCCUACCACAGACCUACUGAGUAAUUCUCUAAGGUGCAACAAAGUUUGGGGACCACAAACCUAACCCAACAUGCCAGCUAGGCGUCAUUUGAUUGUUCAAGUAAAUAUUCAUCAGAAAUUCAUUGCACUACUUAUAGUAGGUGCCUUGGGUAAAGACAAAAGAGAUAAGGCCUGACCCUCCCACAACAAUCUCUGAAGGACUCAGGCACACCACAGUUGGAAAAACAAGAUGCUUCCCUGCCUUCUAAGAAGCAUUAUCAGCAUCAUCGAUGUCUUUGACAAGCACGCACAGGGCGUCGCAGGCUGCCCCAGGCUGCACACAACAGAAAUCAAGAAGCUCCUCCAGCAAGAGCUAGGCAGAGCCCUGCAGAAAACAAGUAAUUCUGAAGCAGCAGAAAAAAUCCUCCAACAGCUGGAUCAAGACGGUGACAAAACAGUUGAUUUCAGUGAAUUCAUUUUAUUCAUAUUUGGAGUGACAAAAGCUUACUA